UUUAACACUUCAUGACUGAGAGCUGUCCUUCAUGACAACAGAACUUCAACGAUGACUUUCAUCAUGAGCUUUGUGUGGAUACUGACUUUCUUAAUUCAGGAAUCGAGAGGACAGGUCACUGUGACUCAGACUCCUYCAGUGAAAACUGUUCUCCAAGGACAGCCAGUUAUUAUAAACUGUAAAACCAGUGCAGAUGUAGCAGAUCAUUGUCCUGGUGAUUACACCUGUAUGGCCUGGUACCAACAGAAACCUGGAGGAGCUCCUAAACUCCUAAUAUACUGGGCUACAACACUUCAGUCUGGGACUCCAUCUAGAUUCAGUGGCAGUGGAUCUCAUAGUGACUUCACUCUGACCAUCAGUGGAGUCCAGGCUGAAGAUGCAGGAGAUUACUACUGUCAGAGUGUACACAGUGGUCCAGUGUUCACACAGUGAUACAGAGCUGUACUAAAACCUCCCUCAGUCAGACUGCACAGUGACUGUACUGCUACAGCUGGGACCUACUGCAGGUGCUGAUGGGUACGAGACAUUGACAUGGAUCAAUGGUCACUAGAGGAGGUCAACUGUGACAUGUGACAAWAUGGUUAGAAAGUAAUCAUUCAGAUCACAUGACCAUCCUCAUCAUCAUCAUCAUGGUUAUGACUUAUAGUUUUUGUCAUGGUCUUUAAGUGUAUAUAUAUAAAAGUCAUUUGAAGUUUUGAAACACAAUUCCUGUCCACAUGCGAAGCAAGAUCUACAGAAGUAAAACAAAAGAUGUUAUGACCUUAACAUUACUUCAAAGUUACAAUCACUUCAGUCCCCAAAACAAGUCCUCAUAUGGACCUCAAACAAAUYUCUGAUUUAAAUGGAUGUGAUCUUCUAACAUUAUAUUCACUCUUUUAAUGAGCAGGUUACUGACUGCUAGAUCUGUGAAUGAGACAUGAUGCUGGACUCAAACAUAAGACACAUUUACACUACAUACA